UUGCUAGCGAAUAGCAUGCAAACAGAGGAGUGACAAGACGACGAGAGUGGACACUCGAGAGUAAUGUUCGGCGGAGCGCACUUUCCUCGAUUUUCGUGGGCCGACCCUGGUGGGCGCUGGGGGCUAUUUCCUCUCGGUUUUUCGA
ensembl:ncRNA ZK593.13 ncRNA